rnacentral:rRNA from 1 species
CGGAACGCUGGCGGCGUGCCUAAUGCAUGCAAGUCGAGCGGGCUACUAUCUUCGGAUAGUAGCUUAGCGGCGAACGGGUGAGUAACACGUAGGUAAUCUACCCUUCAGAGGAGGACAACCUCAGGAAACUGAGGCUAAACCUUCAUACGUUCAUGUGCAGGGAUGCAUAUGAAGAAAGAGUUACCGUAGAGGUAGCUGCUGAAGGAUGAGCCUGCGGCCCAUCAGGUAGUUGGUGAGGUAACGGCUCACCAAGCCGAAGACGGGUAACCGGUCUGAGAGGAUGUCCGGUCACACUGGGACUGAGACACGGCCCAGACUCCUACGGGAGGCAGCAGCAGGGAAUCUUGGGCAAUGGGCGAAAGCCUGACCCAGCGACGCCGCGUGGAGGAAGAAGUCCUUCGGGGCGUAAACUCCUGGACUGGGGGACGAGUAAGGACGGUACCCCAGUAGAAAGGGACGGCCUAACCUACGUG